rnacentral:rRNA from 1 species
ACAUACGACCAUAGGACCAUGAAAACAGUGCUUCCCGUUCGCUCAGCUGAACUUAAGCAUGGUACCGGCGGAUUAGUAGUCAGGUGGGUGACUACUGGCGAAUACCUGCUGUUGUAUGUAU